GUCCAGGGAUGGGAAUCGAACCCACAAUUACCGGGCAGGUGCCAUGUCCACUAGGCUACCCUGGA